rnacentral:rRNA from 1 species
GAUGAACGCUGGCGGCGUGCCUAAUACAUGCAAGUCGAGCGAAUGGAUUAAGAGCUUGCUCUUAUGAAGUUAGCGGCGGACGGGUGAGUAACACGUGGGUAACCUGCCCAUAAGACUGGGAUAACUCCGGGAAACCGGGGCUAAUACCGGAUAACAUUUUGAACCGCAUGGUUCGAAAUUGAAAGGCGGCUUCGGCUGUCACUUAUGGAUGGACCCGCGUCGCAUUAGCUAGUUGGUGAGGUAACGGCUCACCAAGGCAACGAUGCGUAGCCGACCUGAGAGGGUGAUCGGCCACACUGGGACUGAGACACGGCCAAGACUCCUACGGGAGGCAGCAGUAGGGAAUCUUCCGCAAUGGACGAAAGUCUGACGGAGCAACGCCGCGUGAGUGAUGAAGGCUUUCGGGUCGUAAAACUCUGUUGUUAGGGAAGAACAAGUGCUAGUUGAAUAAGCUGGCACCUUGACGGUACCUAACCAGAGAGCCAUGGCUAACUACGUGCCAGCAGCCGCAGUAA